UGGGGAAUAUUGGACAAUGGGCGCAAGCCUGAUCCAGCAACGCCGCGUGGAGGAUGAAGGUCUUCGGAUCGUAAACUCCUGUCAGACGGGACGAACGCAGCCGGGUGAACAAUCCGGCUGCUUGACGGUACCGUCAGAGGAAGCCCCGGCUAACUCCGUGCCAGCAGCCGCGGUAAUACGGAGGGGGCAGCGUUAUUCGGAAUUAUUGGGCGUAAAGGGCGCGUAGGCGGCUUGAUAAGUCAAAGGUGAAAUCCCUCGGCUCAACUGAGGAACUGCCUUUGAAACUGUCGAGCUUGAGGCCGGGAGGGGGUAGCGGAAUUCCCAGUGUAGCGGUGAAAUGCGUAGAUACUGGGAGGAACACCGGUGGCGAAGGCGGCUACCUGGACCGGUUCUGACGCUGAGGCGCGAAAGCGUGGGUAGCAAACAGGAUUAGAUACCCUGGUAGUCCACGCUGUAAACGAUGGGUGCUCGGUGUCGCGGGUAUCGACCCCUGCGGUGCCUUAGCUAACGCG
rnacentral:rRNA from 1 species